rnacentral:snRNA from 1 species
AUACUUACUCGAGCAGGGUCCAUAGAUGAUCAAGAGGGUCAAUGGCCUAGGAAGGCCACCUCCAUUGCAUUUGGGAGGGGGGUCCAACUAGAAUCUCCCAGUUAGGAGAGUGCAUGUCAUAAUUUUUCGUAAUGGAGGCUUGUGUUUGCAUGGCGAACGCGUCCUCCAC